CAGUCGCGCGGUAACACGAAGGGGGCUAGCGUUGCUCGGAAUGACUGGGCGUAAAGGGCGCGUAGGCGGCUGACACAGUCAGAUGUGAAAUUCCUGGGCUCAACCUGGGGACUGCGUUUGAGACGUGUUGGCUUGAGUGGAGAAGAGGGUCGUGGAAUUUCCAGUGUAGAGGUGAAAUUCGUAGAUAUUGGAAAGAACACCGGUGGCGAAGGCGGCGACCUGGUCUUUAACUGACGCUGAGGCGCGAAAGCGUGCGGAGCAAACAGGAUUAGAUACCCGAGUAGUCCCUGUCUCUUAUACA
rnacentral:rRNA from 1 species